GGCCAUAUUAGUGAGAAUUGUGUAGAAAAGUUCAGUUUUCUUGGGCUGUCACAACUGUGAUUGAAGCAUAUUGGAAUCUGAGGGGGCUAUAAAGAAACAAUGUUGCUGUUUGAGAUCUGGUGAGAGAGAGAUGGGAAUACAUCUGUGGAAGAAGACAUAUGAUCAUGCACACUCAAGGCUGGGGAAAUUUCUCUAUGUCAGUCUGGUGAGGGACACCCCCACAGCCCGAAGGAACCAACUUCCAGGAGGAAAAAUGGUGCUUCCAAGAUACCGUGGUCUCUCCGAUCUGCUUCAGCUUUCCUGAAAGCAAUAGAAGACAAUAUCUGUGUGUUU